rnacentral:lncRNA from 1 species
UGUUGAUUGUGAAAUGCCAGUUGAAGCAUAUGUCCUGCGAGCUUAGGGGUGCUACAAGUUGACCACUGCAGCAGUAAAGAUGACUCUGAAGAAUGGCGUGGGAUGGUUCCUUUCAAAUGCACUUGAGCAGCGGUCUCCAACCACAGGGCCACAGAGCUGGAGCUGGAUCUACCAUGAAAGACUUGUGAAUCCAGGAAGAGAGACUGACUGGGCAACAUGUUAUUCAGGUGGGAACAUCCAGUUGCAGGAAAACAAGCUUAACACGCCCACUGAUUCUACAUUAUGCUCCUACCUCCCGGCAGCCUCUCCAGGCCCAGAACUUUCUCCAGUCAGCCUCUACAGACCAAGCUCAUGACUCACAAUGGCCUAUUUAGGCCCAUACCCUACGUCACGGCAGCCUCCGCAGAUGAGGCUACUGCCUCACAACAGCCUCCACAGGCACAGCUCCAUCGUUACAAUGGCCUCUUUAGACCCAGCUCCUGCCUCCCAGCCUUCUCUCCAGGCCCUGAACAUUCUCAGGUCUCCCUCUGUUGUCCAAGGCUGGAGUGUAGUAGUGCUAUCGCAGCUGACUGCAGCCUCAACCUUCCAGGCUGAAGCGAUCCUCCCACCUCAACCUCCCACGUGGCUGAGACUACAGGUGCUUGCCACUAUGCCCAACUAAUAUUUGGAAUUUUCGUAUACGU